rnacentral:lncRNA from 7 species
AGUUCCACAGCAGAGCAAUUCCAAGGGCAGUCCUGAUGCUCACUGCGGUAGAAGAGCUAAGACCCGGCCUGCAUUAGGCUUAACUCUGCCUGGGGGUUUAAUAUCGAUGAGAGCACAGCUGUGGGGUGCAGCUGAACCACAUCUGCAUCCCUGCUGGGCGAUGGAGCUGCAGGACACGGGGAUGGUGAGCGCUGCACAGGAACGUGGACACGGAGGAUGGAGCCGGUGCCCGGGCUCUGCAAUGGCCUCUGUGCCACCCAAGAGGAAGAGGAACUCCAGAGCCACGCGACAGGGACAUCACCAACAGCAGGCACGAUCCUUAUCAGCUGACAGAGGUAAACCCCGUGAAAAUCUCUCUCCUACCUCUGAAGCAGAGCUUGACAAAGCCAGGCCUUGUGAGAGCAGAAUGUGUGGUAAGGCACACCCACAAGGAAAGCAUCCAGAGGAGCUGAUACGAGAAGUGCCAAUGGCAUCAGGACCAUAUUUUUAUAUCAGUGGAUCUAACGGAGCAGGACUGCGAACAGCUGCUCUACCAGAUUCCCAACAACAGCAUCCUCACCAGCAAGACUGGGCUUUUAUCCUGCCUGCGAGAGCAAGAGCGAGUGAUGAAAAAGAUCAACAGGAGCUCUAAUCCCAAGUAAGAACUCUCACCUCAGUGCACCUCCAGCAGAAACACACGCCAAGCAAAAGCUGCUGAAGAUGGAAGAAUUCUUCCCAGAAUCUUUUCGCUUGGACUUAAAAGAAGAGAGAAAUGCCUUUUUUGAGCAUUGCAAAGAGAAGAGAUUUGGAUCUGCAAACCCAGUUGCUCUAACCAAGGGCGAGGAAUUUUCCUGCUGAAAAAUCCCAGUGCUGUCACCACCCUACAAGCCAAGCUCUACAGCUCCGAGAGAGACCUACCCAGUAAGAGGGUGCCUUGCGGGGCUCCCCAGACAAGAAUAGUGCAAAGGGCUACGUCCGGCUGACCUGCAGCAAUUAUGAUGCCACAUCUGAUGAUCUGACUGUUCAUCUCACCAACCAGUACAUGCAGAAGAAGAACUCCCUCUACAGCCAGCUGAAGGAUGAGACAGUUUGGGGAAUGGAGCACUUCAACAGCUACAUUAAUGAGAAGUUUGGGAAAACCAAUAGCCUCCCACAGGACUGGGUUUUCACUGUGUUUACUAAGAGGAUGAAGCAGAUCAUGUUGCAGUGCUUCCUGGCAGCCAAGCACAAACUGGAUCGUAAACUGGGCUACUUUGAUCUCAUUGGCUGCGACUUUUUGAUUGAUGAAAACUUUAAGGUAUGAAUAAAAUACUGCCAAAU